GAUGAACGCUGGCGGCGUGCUUAACACAUGCAAGUCGAACGAUGAAGCCCAGCUUGCUGGGUGGAUUAGUGGCGAACGGGUGAGUAACACGUGAGUAACCUGCCCUUAACUCUGGGAUAAGCCUGGGAAACUGGGUCUAAUACCGGAUAGGAGCGUCCACCGCAUGGUGGGUGUUGGAAAGAUUAUCGGUUUUGGAUGGACUCGCGGCCUAUCAGCUUGUUGGUGAGGUAAUGGCUCACCAAGGCGACGACGGGUAGCCGGCCUGAGAGGGUGACCGGCCACACUGGGACUGAGACACGGCCCAGACUCCUACGGGAGGCAGCAGUGGGGAAUAUUGCACAAUGGGCGCAAGCCUGAUGCAGCGACGCCGCGUGAGGGAUGACGGCCUUCGGGUUGUAAACCUCUUUCAGUAGGGAAGAAGCGAAAGUGACGGUACCUGCAGAAGAAGCACCGGCUAACUACGUG
rnacentral:rRNA from 1 species